AUAGUGAUAACAAUGACGAAACACUACUGGGAUUACUACUGUUAAUGACUACCAGUGAUCAAGCACCUCCCCCGCCCCAGGUACCAUCCUAAGUGCUUCGUAAAUACCGUCUCUUAUGAUAUUUAUAACAAUUCUUUGUGGUCAGUCCAAUUGUCAUGCCUGCAUUAGAGGUGAGCCUCCGAGACCCAAAUGCACACAGCUAGUUAAUGGAGUAGCUAGAAUUCACAUCUAGGUCUUUCUAACUGCAAAGCUCAUAAUCCUGACAACCAAGCCAUGGUAGAGAUUCCAGCAGAGUAAAGUGGAGCUUGUAAAGGAGGAAGGAGUUAAUUUUGCUGGGGAUACCAGGGCAGGGAGUGGAAGUUAGGCAUGGGAGAAGUAGGAGGAAGAGUAAGGAAGGUCUUUAAAUGAGAUGACCCUCCGUGGAAGCUCAACUUCCUGGAGAAAAACUUCUCAGAAGAAAAUGUACGAUGUGCAGUUCUUUAGCAUAUUAUCUAAUAUGAAGAUGUGGGGAGGCUAGAGGCAGAAUGGUAUCUGAAUUGGCCCAGUGGCCCCUCUCCCUGCCCCUGCCAGGAAAACUGCAAGUUCCAAUGCAACUGGGACAUCAGGAACCUGGGAAAAUUAGUAGAGCUGUUUAUUUUGCCAAAGUACAUACUUGAAAUCUCAUGCAUAAAAAGUUUUCUAUGAAUACAAAAUAUUGUGAUUGUCUACAUUAGACCAAGGAAACAUUAUAUUCAAAGAGAAGGAGAGAAGUUUGAACAUAUUUAUUUAGCAUAUGAAAGUGGGUGUUCGUGCCAAAAAUAAUUCAAUAUGGUAGAAACCUACUUAGGCAGUGUCUAAACUAACACAGCAGAACAUGUGAUGUGAAGAUUUGGUGGCUGUAAUUCAUGCCAACCAGAUCCCCCACAACCUGAUUUGGUCUGUGAGACCCUCCUCAUCCAGCCUCUGCCUUGUUUUGUGGCCUUAGGCUCAGUAGUCUAACUUUUAGCACUCCACUUGCGUUAUUGGGUUUUGCUAUAGAGUUCUAACAACUAAGUAUUUUAACCAAGCUAAGGCCUGGACAACAUUGAAAUAUAAGAGGUAAAAUAAGAUUUUGCUGACUUUUGAAUUAUUCAAAUAUUAAAUAUUAAUAUUAUCAAUCUUUAAUUACUUGAAUCAUAUUACUUUGUGAAGAUUCUGUUUCUAGUAAAUAAGGCCUUGAAUUUAAUACUUCUUUGAACUUUUUGAAAGUGUAUACCAAUUUUUUUGAAAUGUAUACUUGUUUUUUAAAAACAGUAUUUGCCUGCCUUGUUUGAAGACCUGAAAAAUGUACACAAAAUGAUUUAGAACUGUUGGGCUUUUCAGAAAAUAAUUUAAAAUCAUCUACCUCAUAACUAAAGGAUACUGAAUUGGAGCCAGCUAAUGUAUGGAGCUUACCUUGGUUGUCACCUUCUGGUCUUUGUUUGAGGACCAACUGCAUGUGAUUACAGGGACUCGGGCGAAGCUGGAAAACAUCAUUCUCAACAAACUACCACA